rnacentral:rRNA from 1 species
AAGCGUUUGCGGCCAGACUUGAUCGCGGUUGCUCAGCCGGUCUUUGCCCGGUGCACUCUUCCGCGUCAGGCCAGCAUCAGUUCGGACGGUCGGAUAAAGGCUUUGGGAACGUAGCUCCUCGGAGUGUUAUAGCCCUUUGCACAAUACGGCCCGUUCGGACUGAGGACAGCGUUCGCUAGGAUGCUGGCGUAAUGGCAGCCAACGG